CUUUCUGAGGCAUAAGCAGGCACAUGUUGCCUGCAAAGAGGGAAGGGGUGGGUACUUGUGAGGAGCCCAGCACUGCCUUGCUUGGUCUGGACUUCUGCAUUUGGAAGAGUAGGGAGAUCAUUUAAGUCUCUAAGGAGACCCCCAAAUGGAAAGUUGCCCAGGUCUUUCUCAAAUCCAAGAGUUCCCAGACAAGGAGACUGGUGUGCUCCACUUCACAAUGUUGGUAACUUAAGAAACUGGAAUUCACACCUAAAUGUGUCAAGCUCCAGAGCCUAGACAUCUUCUGCUGUUCAAUGUGGCUAAAUGGCAACGAAAAAUCAUCCUGAGCAUGGGAUCCUGUACAAGUCAUCCUGUGCACGACCAUCUUCCCAGUGGGCCUCACUCCACAUGGCACCACAGCUAGGUGCCCCAGCCUGUCACGGGAUAGAGGCUGCACUCUGCCUGAUGCCCAUGUGUUUCCAAAGCAAAGGGGGACUCAGGCCUCUCUCCCUUGACCCCUCUGGGGCACAUCAGGGAGGGGCUGGCAGAUUGCUGAGGACCAUGAAGGGCAGGACGGUGGGCUUUACUGGCCCCAGAGCUUGCCCCAGGCUGUCUUAACAUCCACUGCUCUCUGCAGAAAGGCCAAGAAGUCACUGGAGUGGCUGGGGGGCAGCACAGGGAUGAGUGAGUGUGUGUGUGUGUGUGUGCACGCAUGUAGGUGGUGGGGGCAAGUUGUGAGUGCGCCUGUGAGGGUAUGCAUGAGGAGACUCCACAGAGGUGGCAGGAUGGGUCUGGGAGGGAAAGGAUGGGAGGAGAAACUGAGGCAGCCAGUCUGCUCAGAGAGGCAGUGGUGCUGGCCAGGGGGCUAUACGUGUCUCUCUCCCCAUUCUCUAAUGACCUCUGGACAGUAUCCACUGCAUGUGGGUUUCACUGGACAGAAGGACCCCAUCACCAGCAGCAAAAUCAUAACACCUGCCUUCAUCCCACCACAUUCUUCUUCAUUGACCUCCAAGGGCUCUACAGCUGCACGUGGUGGAUAAAUGCCAGUUCCCCAACUUGGAACCCAAGGAGUCAUGAGUCAGAGCCACCCGAUCCUCAGCUGUAUAAGAGGAUAAUGCUGAAUUCAAGUCAUUGUGGGAAAUUGACUGAAUGAGCAACAUCUAACAAUGCUGAAGAGCAUCAUGGCCUUUCUCCUCCCUUCUUCCCUCUGGCACGGGUAUCUUCCCACCUGGCCUCCAAAGGCUUUGCCCGGUAAGGCUCUCUGCCCUUAUCCCCAUCUCUGAGGCACAACUCUUCUCGCAGUACGGCCACAGAGAUGAGCCCAGGCCACCUGGCUGACCCUUUCCCCCUUUCCCCAUAUGCAGACUUCCUCAACCAGACCCCCAAGCUAACCACAGUGGGCCCACCCUCUCCCCAACACCCUCCCUUCACUCCUGCAACUCUCGCUUGGUACUCUGCUACUGCUUUUGCCAAGUGUUCUCACCUCAGGUGGACAGGCCUCUCUGUGCCACCCUCCUAUGAGCCCAUGAGGAGGGUGGGCCAAAAGUCAGGCUUAAUCUGCCUGCUCCUCCCCAGCCAGCACCACUCUGCAAACUUGGAAGGUCCAUAAGAAGCAGCUGCUCUGCUUCUGCUGCCCAGAAAGGGCAUCCACCUAAAGAACGUGUGCGAUGGAUCGCCUUGCAGGUAACAGGGCUGCUCAGAGGCAGAUGCCCCUGGAGGUGUCUCCCACCUGGGGGAUGACCACCCCGUGGCCCUGUUACAGUGCACGUGCCCAAGCGCCAGCUCCCGCCUACCUUCCUGAUGCCUUCUGAAGGACUGGACACGCAGUUGUCAGCCCCUCCAUUCUUGCUGAUGGUCCGCCAGAGUUCAGCAAACGUGCUGUCCUGCUCCAGGGGGUUGGUGCCCUUGGCUCGGAAGUACUCAUAUACAGCAGAAUCCCGGACGGUGCCAUAAGACAUUUCCACUUGUUUGGACAGGUCCUGGAAAGUCCUGAAAUGCAGAAAGGCAGCGAGGCAUGAGUACAUGCUGUGCAUUGCACACUGCAAAGAUACAAAUGGGCUGCAAGGCCCUUCUGAACUCCAAGCCCGGCAUGGCCCACUAUCCACAUUCUUCAUUCUCCAUCCCCCAAAGUUCAAGUCCCUCAGCCCAGAGUGGGACUUGCAGGGCCUCAUUCAAUUACAGGUGUGUUUUCUCAGUGUAGAUUAAUUCAAUAAGAUGACUGGGCACCUAAAACCAGGUUCUUUACUGAACUGGAGGGAUGAAAGGAUGAGUAAGACAUGAUUCCUGCCUUCAAGGAGCUUAUAGUCCAGCUAUAGAAGCAGACAUAUAGACAGAGAAUCAUAGCAUCAAAGAGUCAGGGCAACAUGGGAGGCUGUAUGCUGCGGAUCUCCAACUCAGACGCCUGCAGAGGCUGGGCAGGAAAGAGGCCUAUGUUGGCAAGAUGAACGAUAAUGAUGGCUGGCCUGUGACACUCAGAGACAGCAUGAGGAAGAAACGCACUCAGAGACCAACUGACUCAGGGUAAAUUAAGAGGCAUCCCCUCUAAAGCUUGCAGCUGUGCUAGGGGUCUAGCCAAUUAUUAACUUCGAAUGUUCCCCUCCCCAUGACCUCCUCAACCAAUUUGGUUUUUGAAAAAAUAAAGAAAAUUGGAUUUUUAAAUC
rnacentral:antisense_RNA from 1 species